CCGGAUGCUACUCCAAGGCCUGUCCGGGCUCCCGAGCCAAAGAACACAGGGAUUCGCUGCCACCCCGGGAUACCCCUAACACCCUGGAAAAGGCAUGUUUUCCUUCAAUCAAGACCCUCAAAACCACGAGUGCACGGGAAUCCCACCCAGUUCAAACACAGGCAAUAAUGGAAGAGAAGUUGCUUCCCUCAUUUUGAAUUUCUUUUGUCUUAAUAAACCCUAGUUUGUUUGGG